UGUGUCCCCUCAUUUCAUAGGUUGAAAUCCUAGCCGUCAAAAUGAUAGUUUUGGAAGUGGGCCUUUGGGAAGUGAUUAGAUCAUGAGAGAAAAGCCUCAUAAAUGGGAUGAGCGCCCUCCUAAAAGAGACCUCAGAGGUCUCCCCAACCCCUUCUUCCAUCUGAGGUUACAGCAAGAAGAUGGCCAUCUGGGAGGAAGUCGGGCCUCACCAGAUACAGAAUCUGCUGGUGUCUUAAUCUCAGACUUCCCAGCCUCCAGAACGACGAGCCAUAAAUUCCUGUUGUUCAUAAACCACCCCAGACUACAGUGUUCUGUCAGAGCAGCUCGCUGGGACUGAGACACUUCCCCAGCAGGAUUACCCAGCAAAGGGAUCUCUUCUGACUAAUAGUGGAAGCAUUAAGGAGAGGGCAAAGCGCUGAAGGUUCCCAGAACCCAGAGGUCAAAGAGAGUCCAUGUUCCUCAUGAGAAGAGCUGAUCAGAGAGUCUAAGCCACAUGAGAAAUAGAUCCAGGGGCCAGGAAUCAGCAUGUCAACCCGAUUGGCAACAUCGGAUUGGUGUGCAACGGAAGCUCAACUGGUCUCCUGUUCCUUCCCUCCCUGAUCGCCUACCCCCAGCUCAUAACCCCAUGCUUAGCACUUAAUAUGUGGUCUAAGCCCUCCAUAUAGAUUAGAAACCCACUAAAUUUUCACAA